rnacentral:rRNA from 1 species
CCUUAGAGUUUGAUCCUGGCUCAGAUUGAACGCUGGCGGCAGGCCUAACACAUGCAAGUCGAGCGGAUGAGUGGAGCUUGCUCCAUGAUUCAGCGGCGGACGGGUGAGUAAUGCCUAGGAAUCUGCCUGGUAGUGGGGGACAACGUUUCGAAAGGAACGCUAAUACCGCAUACGUCCUACGGGAGAAAGCAGGGGACCUUCGGGCCUUGCGCUAUCAGAUGAGCCUAGGUCGGAUUAGCUAGUUGGUGAGGUAAUGGCUCACCAAGGCGACGAUCCGUAACUGGUCUGAGAGGAUGAUCAGUCACACUGGAACUGAGACACGGUCCAGACUCCUACGGGAGGCAGCAGUGGGGAAUAUUGGACAAUGGGCGAAAGCCUGAUCCAGCCAUGCCGCGUGUGUGAAGAAGGUCUUCGGAUUGUAAAGCACUUUAAGUUGGGAGGAAGGGCAGUAAGUUAAUACCUUGCUGUUUUGACGUUACCGACAGAAUAAGCACCGGCUAACUUCGUGCCAGCAGCCGCGGUAAUACGAAGGGUGCAAGCGUUAAUCGGAAUUACUGGGCGUAAAGCGCGCGUAGGUGGUUUGUUAAGUUGGAUGUGAAAGCCCCGGGCUCAACCUGGGAAUUGCGGUGGAUACUGGCGGACUAGAGUGCGGUAGAGGGUGGUGGAAUUCCCGGUGUAGCAGUGAAAUGCGUAGAGAUCGGGAGGAACAUCUGUGGCGAAGGCGGCCACCUGGACCAGCACUGACACUGAGGCACGAAAGCGUGGGGAGCAAACAGGAUUAGAUACCCUGGUAGUCCACGCCCUAAACGAUGCGAACUGGACGUUGGGCUCAAUUGAGAGUUCAGUGUCGAAGCUAACGCGUUAAGUUCGCCGCCUGGGGAGUACGGUCGCAAGACUGAAACUCAAAGGAAUUGACGGGGGCCCGCACAAGCGGUGGAGUAUGUGGUUUAAUUCGAUGCAACGCGAAGAACCUUACCUGGCCUUGACAUCCACGGAACCCUUUAGAGAUAGAGGGGUGCCUUCGGGAACCGUGAGACAGGUGCUGCAUGGCUGUCGUCAGCUCGUGUCGUGAGAUGUUGGGUUAAGUCCCGCAACGAGCGCAACCCUUGUCCUUAGUUGCCAGCGAGUAAUGUCGGGAACUCUAAGGAGACUGCCGGUGACAAACCGGAGGAAGGUGGGGAUGACGUCAAGUCAUCAUGCCCCUUAUGUCCAGGGCUUCACACAUGCUACAAUGGCCAGUACAGAGGG